GUCCAAAUAAAAAGGAGUCUGACACUCUGGCAGCACACAUCUGAAGAAUCAACACCGCAGCAGGACUAAACAAGACACGUGAAAACAUGAAGACUGUGAUUCUCGCUCUCGUGGUGUUGGUGGUGGUCAGCCAGGGUGAAGCGUUGGAGUGUUACUGUGGAGGCACACGGUCUAAAUUCUGUCCAGAUCGUGCGGAUGGUACGCAGACUUGCGAAGGUCAGGAUCAAUUCUGUGUCAGGGCUCUUGAUCCAUAUAACAACACAAGAAUUGGCUGCUGGCUUGAAGAAGACUGCAUGUUGCUGAAUACACCGGGGUAUUCUGGCUUCUGCUGCACCCAAGAUCUGUGUAAUACACAGCAAUGAACAGCAUGCAGCACAACUUCCAGUUAUAAUAACAAUCUGCACUCAUGAACUGUGCAUUAUUUCCUUAAUAAAGAUCAAUAAGUUGCAGCAAUAGUUUUUUUUCUUUUUUAAAUAUCAGAUAACUUUUUAUUUUAUUCCUAAUGGAAUUCUGGCUUUUAAAUAUUCACAUUUAUCUGUAUUAUUUAACAAUUUUCACAAUUUAAUUAAGUGUUUCAUGUUUUCUUCGCCAUUAAAAAUCCUAAGCCGAUGCUACAAUAUCCAUCAUGAGGAGUAAAUUAUUUGUGGGAAAGUUUAUAGUUUUUUUCAGUUGCUAACACACAGAAAUCUCACAUAAAGCAUAAUUAUUUAUAGUUUUUGAUGAGUCAACAAUAAAGCAGUUUGGUGUUUAUGUUCAUUUGGCACGUGUAUUUGUUGAUUGGUUCAUGUGUGUAGCAUUUUUAAUGGCAGUGUUUUGAAAAAGGCAAACAAGUGAAUAUGUCAGAUUUCUGUGUCUUACUUAGAGAACCGUGUGCAGUGUUUUGCAAAAAGUGCCAAGUUGAUUUGCAAAUUGGGUGCAGAGCUGAAAAUGUGUUUAGAGUUUUGUAGAUUUGAGUUGAGGUUUUGCUCUUUGAGUCUGAGUUUAAAUAAUUAUGCUGUAUGUGAGAUUGUUGUGUGUUAGCAACUGAAACCUGUAAGUUCAAUGGUGUGUAGUCGGUUGGACAAAGUGUCUUGUAUUAUAAAUGAAGUGUGUGCCAUUUGGUGCAAAAGUUGUCGUUUUGGGUGCAGUUAGUCAUUCUGCAGGAUGUAUGAGGUGUUUUGCACUUUGGGUGUGUGGUUUUGUGAAUUGUGUAAAGUGUUUUGAGAAAAUGAGCCAUGUUUUCAAAAGCUUGUGUUAGCAAUUGAGGAAAAUUGUAAAGUGAGAUGAUGCUGAUAUUUCAACUUUGCAUACUACCCUACAAAUGACAGUGUGCCACAUUUCUUGGAACACUGUUUUAGUUUUUAGUACAACUUGUGCGUUACCGAAUUUCAAAGUGAAUGAUUGACAAUGGAUUGAUUACAUUGCUCAACAAGUCCAAAUAAGCUGGCAGCACAGAUCAGAAGAAUCAACAACGCAGUGGGGCAAUACAAGGUUAGAUAUCUUUGAGUUCUCUUUUCAAAUGCACAUUUAUUAAAACGCUUCAACUUAAAAGUAGCUUUUCAUUCCUCACACUUUUCACCUUUGCUUUUUUCCAUACACAGAUUUGUGUACAGACUGGUGAAAACAUGAAGACUGUGAUUCUCGCUCUCGUGGUGUUGGUGGUGGUCAGCCAGGGUGAAGCGUUGACGUGUCACUGUUCAAGCAUCCCUGCGAUAUGUCCAGGUUCAGUGGUAACCUGCGAGUUAGGUGAAGUCUGUGGCAGCAUCGCCGUUGGUGUUGGACCCCGUCCCUACCAUGUGAGGGAUUGCAUGAAAGCAGAUGAAUGCAUGCGCCUGAGUAACGCAGGAGGAGCGUAUUCUGACGGCCGCUGCUGCAGCCGAGACAUGUGCAACUGAUGGACUGCCUGCAACACAACUUUCAGUUUUAAUAAUAACCUGCUGUGCACUCAAGCACUCAUAAUAAAGAUCAAUCU